GGCAAUAUCACAUUGAAACACCGUUUUUUUUUAAUAUGAUCACCAAAGUUAAGCAACAUCGAGCCUGGUCAGUACCUAGAUUGGUGAUCACUUGGGAAGACCAGCUGCUGUAAG